rnacentral:rRNA from 1 species
CCUACGGGGGGCAGCAGUGGGGAAUAUUGCACAAUGGGGGAAACCCUGAUGCAGCGACGCCGCGUGAGUGAAGAAGUAAUUCGUUAUGUAAAGCUCUAUCAGCAGGGAAGAAAAUGACGGUACCUGAGUCAGAAGCCCCGGCUAACUACGUGCCAGCAGCCGCGGUAAUACGUAGGGGGCAAGCGUUAUCCGGAUUUACUGGGUGUAAAGGGAGCGUAGACGGCAGUGCAAGUCUGGAGUGAAAGGCGGGGGCUCAACCCCCGUACUGCUCUGGAAACUGUACGGCUGGAGUGCAGGAGAGGUAAGUGGAAUUCCUAGUGUAGCGGUGAAAUGCGUAGAUAUUAGGAGGAACACCAGUGGCGAAGGCGGCUUACUGGACUGUAACUGACGUUGAGGCUCGAAAGCGUGGGGAGCAAACAGGAUUAGAUACCCUGGUAGUC